GAGGGGAUAGCUCACUGGUGGAGCACAUGCCUAGCAUGCAUGAGGUCCUGGGUUCAAUCCCCAGUGCCUCCA
rnacentral:tRNA from 1 species